AAAGAUAAUUGGUUAAAUUAAAAGGUCAGAACAUAUUAAUAUAAAAUGUGUAAUCUGCAAACUAUAAUUAUAGAAGUAUAUUAACAAAAAGAAAAUGAAAGAAGAGGAGGGAAAAGAAUGGCUAGUGAAAGAAAAAUAAUUAGGGAAAAGUUUUAUGUGCUCUUUUUACAUUAAAAAAAUAAUAGUCAAAUAUUAAAUUUUGAAGCUAUAGAGCCUAACAACCCUCUAGAAAAAGAAUAGACUAAAUCAGUAGAUUCGAUUCAGCCGAUUCACUAUCAAAUUGUAAGAUUCGGUCACGAAUUAGGUACCUUUGAGAUUCACCCCAUAGAUUCAAACUGUUAGGAUCGGGGAUCGAAUCGAAAGAUUCUAACAACAGUGAACUAAAUUAAAACCUAAUUGGAAUUGGAAAAUAAACUAAGUCCUAAAUAGAAUAGGAAACAAUAAAUAAAUCUGAAUUAUAAUAGGAAAACAUCUAUACGAAGAUUUCAGCUGUUGCAUCAUCCAAAAUAGGAAGUCUAGCACCGCGUCAAAAAUUAAGCUUUUCACUAAAGCUUUCAAGCGUUAACAUGCGAAGUAUAUGAUAUGCUACUAAUGCCGCUAAGACCACUAUGAAAUUAAUUAAUUCUGUUGCAUAGUUGUUAAAUUAAUAUUCGAAUCGAGAAUCGAAAUCUUCAUUUUGUCAUUCAGAAUUGAGAAUCGAAUCAUAAGGUUCAAUAAAAAAUUCUCAAAAUUAAUUAAAAUAAUAUAUGUUCUAAAAAAUAAGAAAAAAAUCACAUUAUAUGUUUUGAUAAAU
rnacentral:misc_RNA from 1 species